CGCCUCCUGCAUAACAAAUAGGAGGUCCAGCCUGCCCAGUGACAUUGUUCAACGGCCGCGGUAUCCUAACCGUGCGAAGGUAGCGUAAUCACUUGUUCUUUAAUUGAGGACUAGUAUGAAUGGCCCCACGAGGACUACACUGUCUCCUUUUUCUAAUCAAUGAAACUGAUCUCCCCGUGAAGAAGCGGGGAUAAAUCUAUAAGACGAGAAGACCCUAUGGAGCUUUAAACAACAAGAAUAUUUGCUUCUUUUCUAUCAUUUUCUGUAAAAUUAAAUUAAUCCAAGCAUUUUAUCUCCUAGUUUUAGGUUGGGGUGACCACGGAGAAAAAAUAAACCUCCACGUUGAAAUGAAGCCUCCCCCUUCUAAGCAAAAAGACACAACUUUAUGCAUCAACACAUUGACUCACAUUGACCCAAUAAUUUGAUCAACGAACCAAGUUACCCUAGGGAUAACAGCGCAAUCUACUUUGAGAGCUCAUAUCGACAAGUAGGUUUACGACCUCGAUGUUGGAUCAGGGUGUCCAAGUGGUGCAGCCGCUACUAAUGGUUCGUUUGUUCAACGAUUAAAACCCUACGUGAU
rnacentral:rRNA from 1 species